rnacentral:rRNA from 16 species
CGGAGGCCAUUGCUAUUGGGAUCCGAUUUAGCCAUGCUAGUCGCACGAGUUCAGACUCGUGGCGAAUAGCUCAGUAACACGUGGCCAAACUACCCUUCGGAACACAAUACCCUCGGGAAACUGAGGCUAAUAGUGUAUACCACAUCACCACUGGAAUGAGUGAUGUGCCAAACGCUCCGGCGCCGAAGGAUGUGGCUGCGGCCGAUUAGGUAGACGGUGGGGUAACGGCCCACCGUGCCAAUAAUCGGUAUGGGUCAUGAGAGUGAGAACCCAGAGACGGAAUCUGAGACAAGAUUCCGGGCCCU